ACAACCCCCCCUGGGGGGGCCCUUCAGCAAAUCCUGUGUACGCGCCUGAAUUCCCAAUUAAGCCAUCGCUCCCCGCAAGAUCCAGCCUGGCAGAGCUAAGUGCAGCAGAUAAGUUUUUUUUAACCCUCAUGAAAUUGUCAACCCUCACUACUUCUCAUUUUAGCCACAGUAAACCGACUAAGCCAUCAUCCCCUCAAGUAUCAUCAGAUUGUGAUUGUGUGAUAUGGGAAAGCUAAAAUAGAUAAAUGUGACACAGAUUGAUGCCGUCGGAAAGGGAGCUGUUUUUAGUCAUAACAUUUUAGUGUCGUCCAAUAGCCGUUGUCGUUUCCAGAGCAUUCCAAUCGCAUGCCAAGCGCCUUCUGGUAACCCAGGAUGCAACGCACGCCACCUAGCAGCGAGACAAUCUAAUCAAGGCCUGGAGGUUCGAAAUAAAAUUUCAUUUCA